rnacentral:lncRNA from 1 species
GUGUCAUUUACCUGUGCAGGAUGGCAGCGGGAGCCCGUGGCAGGGGGGCCCGGCUCCAUCAAUCGCUCAUUCUGUCUCCGUCCCCUCACCCCACCCCGAUUCUAUCUCUACUAACAGCCGCUUAGCAUACGGAAUCGUCUCGCAGGGAACAGCUCGGGGACAGGAUGCUGAGCCCCAGUGACCCCUCGGGGCGGCCCAGACCUAAGCUGUCGGAGCUGAACCUUCACUUUGGCUGGAUUUGAAGCGAAUAUACAUGUUCGCCGAAUUACUGCGGAAGAAAAGAAGUGGGAGAGAGAGAGGAGGAGGAAGAGGAGGAAAAGGGGGAAGAGGAAGGAGAGAAGGAAGGGAAGAGGUGGCCGUCUAAUGAACCGUUUAGCUCUGGAAGAAACAUGGCACUCCUUGGGGGAUUUUGAAGUUGGUGCGUGCGCGUGCACGCGUGUCUCUGUGCGCGCGCGUCUCUGUGUGUGUGCGCGCAUACAUGCACGUAUCUUUGGGGGCAAAUUUUUGAGAUGGAGACAAAUGAUCUGGAAGCUUUCUUUUUAUGGUUUCAUGAUGAGGCGAGGUCAUUUAAGAAGAGAGGAAUGGUUCGCUCGGCACACCAGUUCAGACUUGGUCAGAGGGCAGGCCUGAAAUUCCAACCCUCUAAUCAUCUUGUUGGUUUGUCCAGCAACAGUCCAAUCCUAAAGCUAUCUGGCAGCCCUGUAAUGAGUCAUCUCGCUAGCGCAAAUUCAUUUCUGGUAGAAAGGGGCUUAUUAUGCAUAACAAGAGGACAUUCUUAUCACUCAAGAUAUUCCUGUAGUAGGUGGGUUCCAACUGGAGCCACCACCAACACCUGCCCACCACCGCCACCCCCCUACCCCAUCCUUACAGGUGCAAGCAGCCCCCAACCUUAGAAAGUGGAUCUGUCUUCCCCUCCCAUGAAUGAGGGCUGGCCGUGUGACUUGCUUGGACAAACAGAAUGCCAAGAAAGUGACAUUCCAAAGUGUUUGAGUCAAGGUUUAUCGCUUUUUCUCUCUUGGAGCACUCUCUUUGGAAGUCAGAGUCAUGCUUUCAGAAAGCUCAGGUGAGAUGUUUGAAUGACCAGACUACAGUGAGAGGGACCCUGAAGGUUGAGGGGCCAUCUUGGAUGUUCCAGCUCCUGCUAAUCUCCUGGCAGAAUAGAGCCCCAUCAGUGACCCCAGCUGUACCAGGUGGGGUGGAAGAAACUCCCAGCUGGACAACUUCCAGCAUUGUGAGAAAUCACAGAUCUUGUAGUUUUAAGCCGUUAAGUUUAGGGCUAUUGGUUAUACAGUAGUAGAGAACUGAAACAUGGAUUCACUGUGACCCUUUUGAUAGUGUAGAGUUUUGGCGACAGAACCUCACAAAAUGCCCUUGCCAGAAACAUCUCAGUCGCACAGUGUUCUGUUACAUAGAGAGGAGUGCCAGAGCGAGGCUCACUGUAAGAAAAAUGGAGAGAAUCACAUCCUGCAUUAAAAAAAUUAUAAUAUGGAGCCCAA